GGCUCAGGAUGAACGCUGGCGGUAUGCUUAACACAUGCAAGUCGAACGGAAUGCUUAGGCAUUUAGUGGCGGACGGGUGAGUAACGCGUGAGAAUUUGGCUUCAGGUCGGGGACAACAGUUGGAAACGACUGCUAAUACCGGAUAUGCCGGAAGGUGAAAGGCUUGCUGCCUGAAGAUAAGCUCGCGUCUGAUUAGCUAGUUGGUAGUGUAAGGGACUACCAAGGCGACGAUCAGUAGCUGGUCUGAGAGGAUGAUCAGCCACACUGGGACUGAGACACGGCCCAGACUCCUACGGGAGGCAGCAGUGGGGAAUUUUCCGCAAUGGGCGAAAGCCUGACGGAGCAAUACCGCGUGAGGGAGGAAGGCUCUUGGGUCGUAAACCUCUUUUCUCAAGGAAAAAAAAAAUGACGGUACUUGAGGAAUAAGCAUCGGCUAACUCCGUGCCAGCAGCCGCGGUAAUACGGAGGAUGCAAGCGUUAUCCGGAAUGAUUGGGCGUAAAGGGUCCGCAGGUGGUACUGUAAGUCUGCUGUUAAAGAGUCUGGCUCAACCAGAUAAAAGCAGUGGAAACUACAGAACUAGAGUGCGUUCGGGGCAGAAGGAAUUCCUGGUGUAGCGGUGAAAUGCGUAGAUAUCAGGAAGAACACCGGUGGCGAAAGCGUUCUGCUAGGCCGCAACUGACACUGAGGGACGAAAGCUAGGGGAGCGAAUGGGAUUAGAUACCCCAGUAGUCCUAGCCGUAAACGAUGGAUACUAGGCGUGGCUUGUAUCGACCCGAGCCGUGCCGGAGCUAACGCGUUAAGUAUCCCGCCUGGGGAGUACGCACGCAAGUGUGAAACU
rnacentral:rRNA from 1 species